rnacentral:rRNA from 1 species
GGGUCUAGCGGCGGACGGGUGAGUAACGCGUGGGAACGUGCCCUUUGCUACGGAAUAGUCCCGGGAAACUGGGUUUAAUACCGUAUGUGCCCUUCGGGGGAAAGAUUUAUCGGCAAAGGAUCGGCCCGCGUUGGAUUAGGUAGUUGGUGGGGUAAUGGCCUACCAAGCCGACGAUCCAUAGCUGGUUUGAGAGGAUGAUCAGCCACACUGGGACUGAGACACGGCCCAGACUCCUACGGGAGGCAGCAGUGGGGAAUCUUAGACAAUGGGGGCAACCCUGAUCUAGCCGUGCCGCGUGAGUGAUGAAGGCCUUAGGGUUGUAAAGCUCUUUCAGCUGGGAAGAUAAUGACGGUACCAGCAGAAGAAGCCCCGGCUAACUCCGUGCCAGCAGCCGCGGUAAUACGGAGGGGGCUAGCGUUGUUCGGAAUUACUGGGCGUAAAGCGCACGUAGGCGGACUGGAAAGUUGGGGGUGAAAUCCCGG